UCUUAUGUAUGAGCAAAGACAGUAGUUUCUUGAGAUGUAAUCUACUUCUGGUGAAGAUGCUGUGAA
rnacentral:pre_miRNA from 2 species